rnacentral:rRNA from 1 species
AGAUGGCGACCGGCGCACGGGUGAGUAACACGUAUCCAACCUGCCGAUAACUCGGGGAUAGCCUUUCGAAAGAAAGAUUAAUACCCGAUGGCAUAAUAGAACCGCAUGGUCUGAUUAUUAAAGAAUUUCGGUUAUCGAUGGGGAUGCGUUCCAUUAGGCAGUUGGUGGGGUAACGGCCCACCAAACCUUCGAUGGAUAGGGGUUCUGAGAGGAAGGUCCCCCACAUUGGAACUGAGACACGGUCCAA